UACGUAGGUGACAAGCGUUGUCCGGAUUUACUGGGCGUAAAGAGCGCGCAGGCGGUCGUUCAAGUCGAGUGUGAAAGCCCCCGGCUCAACUGGGGAGGGUCAUUCGAUACUGAUCGACUCGAAGGCAGGAGAGGGUAGUGGAAUUCCCGGUGUAGUGGUGAAAUGCGUAGAUAUCGGGAGGAACACCAGUGGCGAAGGCGACUACCUGGCCUGUUCUUGACGCUGAGGCGCGAAAGCUAGGGGAGCAAACGGGAUUAGAAACCCCCGUAGUCC
rnacentral:rRNA from 1 species